UGUCGAUCGUGGAUGCGAUCCUGGCUGGGGCCGGCCGGCCGGUCUGCUUAUCCCGGCGACGACGACCACCUGUCAAGCUCGCGAUUGCGUGAGUCAUCGCGCACCCACCCAUCGGCGCCGUCUAUUCAUCAGUGGAGUUCUGGGCGAUCGAUAAACCUCCCGUUCUCAUCCACUCCGCCUCCCCCUCUCUCCCUCGUCGCGCUCUCUCUCUCUCUCCCCCUCUCUCCCCAGUUCCACCCGCGCCAUCGUCAUCAUGGCCGAGCUCGCCCGCGCGCCCUCCGGCCUCCCCGCGGCCCAGCUGCUUGUCCGUACACAUCGCCGUCGUCGACUACGUCUACCGCGCGGACCUCUUCGACCUCAGAGCCCCUCUGCCUCGCCGGAUCGCCUUCUUCCUCCACUUCAGUCGCCACCGUCUUCUUCAACGCCGACGCCCACUGCAGCCCCUAAACCCACCAUCGGGCCCUCGUGCGCCCUCUCGGUGAGCCGCACCGAUUCCCCGCUCCCCCCCUUUUUCGUCUGUCGCCAUAGCCGCCGCUCCUACACUCGCCGAUGCCGCGAUCGAACUCCGCUCCCGCACCCGCUAUCCGUUGCUGCGGUCUGUGCCCGCACCCUCGGCUCCCCUGCCCGCGCACUAGUCGUGCCCCUGGCUGGGCCUCGUGCGCGCGCCCACGCCCGCGGGCCUGCUGCUGCGUCGCUGCAAGCUGCUCUACUGCUACGGGCCUGCUGCUCGCCCACCCCGACAGCGCCCUGCCGCACCCGCCAGUCCUCGCGCCACUUGCCGCCCUCCUCUGCUUCGGCCGCGCCCUACCAGCGCGCGCCUCGCUUCCUUCUGUUCCCGCCAGGCCAGCCGUUUCGCUCGCCGCCCGCAACUGUGCGCUCAACUGUCGCAGACCGCCCCGCCCCGCGCCGCUGCUCCGCGUGCCCGGCCGCCGCACCCUGCACCUGGCGCGCGCCUGCAGCCUCGCAACCUGCCGCGCGCUCGUUGCCAGCCGCCGUCACUUCCUGUCGGUCCGUCCCCGCCGCUCGCCGGUGCUGGGCGCCCCUCCCCCGACCUCGCCUGCUGGCAGCGCCCGGGGCUGCCCAGCCCGCAGCCCCGUUAGCCCAGCGCCCGACAACCCGCCCCGGUCGGCCUGGGCCACCGACCAGUGCGGCCCGCCCCUGUAAAUAAAACAAAAAAUUGUUUAAAAAUAUAUAUUAAUUAAUUAACUUAAUUAAUUUGGUUUAAUCUACUAUCUAUCUACUAUCUAUCUAUCUAUCUACUAUCACUAUAAAAAAACGAGAGGGCGGAGAACCAGACAAUCACACCCAUCCACUUACAAAAUCUAAUGGCUCUUAAUCCUCCCGUGUUUAACGCUGCAAACACGCAUUAUAAGCAACUAAAUAAUGCAUCGAUCGCUGACCCCGCUGCCGUUCGAAAAAGAAAAAAACUACCAACAACGCACGCACGCACGCACGCCCCCCGCACGACCUCUCGCCCCAUCCUCAUCCUCCUAUCCGACGCCAGCGCACGGGCGGGGACGCCGUUCCUCCCGCGCCCGCGCCGUUCCCCGCCCAAGUGGUUCGCCGCCCCGCCGCCCCGCCGCCACCCGUCCUCCCGCGCCGUCGCCGCCCGCCGUCCUCUCCUCCCGUGUCUCCUGCCGCUUGCCCCCACAUCGUGGUGCGCCAUAGGUGCCAUCCAGAUCGAGCACGGGGCAAAUCACCCUGCGUCUUCACCGACGGCAUCGGCUGUCUCAGGUCUAGGGUUUGCCCUGGUUCUCACGACUCCCUGUGUGCGGCUGUUGCGGUGGGAUGGACGGCGCCGGCGCCAUUGCGGACUCGCUGUUCGGCCGGCCCGUUGGGGUUCGGUUUUGUUUUGGUUGAUGCGGCUGUCUACCGAUGGAUUGACCAUUGGGGUUUGGAUUAGGUGCUUUUCUGGCUGAUUGGAUGGGUUUGGUGUCGACCAGUGCUUACCGUGGACAACACGACAGCAGUAAGAGCAGCGGCGACAGCUCGGACGCAACGCGCUUGGCCUGCGUCAGCGGCGGCGGCGGGGUCCAUCUCCUCCCUGGAGCAGCGGUGGUGGCGUGGGACACAGCGGGCUCGGCCGCGAAGAUGGAUUUCUCCGGCGGGGCAUUUGAAAAUGUCGAUAUGUCGACGAAUCCUCGCCUCUGUUCCUCGACCUCGCGUGAGGGAAGCCGCUGUCGCUGUUCCUCUACGCGAUGAUUUAACAUUGGCCUUUGUUCAAAUCCUAUUCAUGUUGAACCAUUGAAAGCGAGCACACAAAGCUGCAGAGGCAACCAGUCCAAAGGAAUCAGUACGGUCAUGCCAGUUCAUCCAACUGUUCACGCUCAACUACGUGUUGCAUUGCAAUUUGCAAGUAACCUUGCUUCAACAUAAAAAGAAUUGGGUGAUGGACGUGAUAUCAACAUGGUUAUGGACUACCAUGUAUGUACAUAAAUAUGUAUUCCCUUUGGCGUCGAGCUGCCGCCACCGCGGACUAGGCCGGCGGCAGGAGGGGAUAUGGGAUGGACCUGGCGGUGAUAGGGUUGGGGUCCCCUGGCGUUGCCCAGGGGAGGCGACGCGAGGGGGUGAAGAGACGCAACUUGAAACAUGGUAAUUUCUUUUACGCUCUUACGUUUUGUAUUUGCACAAUGGUUGAUUUCCAUUUGGAAUGUUCAGGUACAUAAAGUUAGAGUAGUGGAGCAAAUCUUAAGAUCUUUUAAUAUGGUUAAUUCCUUAGAUGAGAAAGCUUAUACAUGGAAUAACUCGGUUUCUUGAUCUGUACAUAAAAUAUUGAUUCAUGAAGAAUGAUGUUUUGAAUUAUGUAUGAGACAAGAAUUAAGUACUAUACACUUGUGUGAAAUUCAAAAUUUCAAGAAGGUUAUCCUAUAUCUCUUUUUUGGGUGGGGGAGAGGUAAGGUUAUCAUAUAUAUGAUUAUAUGUGUCAGCUGAGACGUGCAUUGCACGUGCAAGCUUACUAGUUUAACUUAAUUACCUAAUUAACUAGAUGAUUAAGUAAUGAGCCUAUGACAGGAGGCCCCACCCCUGUUCAACUAUGACCCCCUGGCCCACUGUCAGCCUCUGUCUACAAUCUAUCUACACAGGGCUGGGUAACCAUAGCGUUUUAAGCAUUAAUUUCAAAUUAAUAAUAAUUUAAAAAAAAAACUUUAGAAAUUCAUAGAAAAUAAUCCGCACCUCGGAUGAAAAAGUUUUAUACAUGAAAGUUGCUUAGAACGAUGAGACGAAUCUGAAUAUGCGGUUUGUUCGUCCGCCACACGUCCCUAGUAUAGCGAACAUGGAACCAUCCCCCUCCGUUUCGUAUAUCUGAAAAUGCCAAACUUCGGAAAAACAUUCCCGGAUGUUAUCCCCCUUUGCCGGCAUCAUGUAGCACUACGUCAGGACACCUCUAGAUCUGCCUGUAGUCAUGUCAUGCAUCUGUGUGCUAUAUAUUUAC